rnacentral:misc_RNA from 1 species
AAGUCGUAACAAGGUUUCCGUAGGUGAACCUGCGGAAGGAUCAUUAACAAAUCAUGUUGCUUGUGGGGCGACCCGCAGCACACAUACAUCCAAGCCUGGAAGGGUCUGCAAUGUAGACCCGGAACGGCUCUGGUAGCAGCCCUCGCGGCUGUAGGUCAGGCCUUUCCGCAAGGAGGGCCAGGCCACAUAGAUGCUUGAAUGUUUGACAGAGUGACAGUUGUGCUUUAAUAAAUACAACUUUUAACAAUGGAUCUCUUGGCUCUU